rnacentral:tRNA from 1 species
GUAGAUAUAGUUUAAUGAAAACGUUAGAUUGUGAUUCUAAAAAUAGAGGUUGAACCCCUCUUAUUCACC